AAAUUGAAGAGUUUGAUCAUGGCUCAGAUUGAACGCUGGCGGCAGGCCUAACACAUGCAAGUCGAGCGGAAACGAGUUAUCAGAACUUUCGGGGAACGAUAACGGCGUCGAGCGGCGGACGGGUGAGUAAUGCCUAGGAAAUUGCCCUGAUGUGGGGGAUAACCAUUGGAAACGAUGGCUAAUACCGCAUGAUGCCUACGGGCCAAAGA
rnacentral:rRNA from 1 species